rnacentral:rRNA from 1 species
GUCGUGACUGCGUGCCUUUUGAAGAAUGAGCCUGCGAGUUAGCGGUGUGUAGCGAGGUUAACCCGUGUGGGGAAGCCGUAGCGAAAGCGAGUCCGAACAGGGCGGUUGAGUUGCACGCUCUAGACCCGAAGCGGAGUGAUCUAGCCAUGGGCAGGUUGAAGCGGAGGUAAGACUUCGUGGAGGACCGAACCCACCAGGGUUGAAAACCUGGGGGAUGACCUGUGGUUAGGGGUGAAAGGCCAAUCAAACUCCGUGAUAGCUGGUUCUCCCCGAAAUGCAUUUAGGUGCAGCGUCGUGUGUUUCUUGCCGGAGGUAGAGCACUGGAUAGGCGAUGGGCCCUACCGGGUUACUGACCUUAGCCAAACUCCGAAUGCCGGUAAGUGAGAGCGCGGCAGUGAGACUGUGGGGGAUAAGCUCCAUGGUCGAGAGGGAAACAGCCCAGAGCAUCGACUAAGGCCCCUAAGCGUACGCUAAGUGGGAAAGGAUGUGGAGUCGCAGAGACAACCAGGAGGUUGGCUUAGAAGCAGCCACCCUUGAAAGAGUGCGUAAUAGCUCACUGGUCAAGUGAUUCCGCGCCGACAAUGUAGCGGGGCUCAAGCGUACCGCCGAAGUCGUGUCAUUC